rnacentral:rRNA from 1 species
UACAGAGGGUGCAAGCGUUGUUCGGAAUUAUUGGGCGUAAAGGGUGCGUAGGCGGUGCGGUAAGUCUCUUGUGAAAACUCCGGGCUCAACUCGGAGCCUGCAAGGGAAACUGCCGUGCUUGAGUAUGGGAGAGGUGAGUGGAAUUCCCGGUGUAGCGGUGAAAUGCGUAGAUAUCGGGGAGGAACACCUGUGGCGAAAGCGGCUCACUGGACCAUAACUGACGCUGAUGCACGAAAGCUAGGGGAGCAAACAGG